UUAAUUUCCUGCCUCUUAUAAUCAAAACCCUCAAAUCCCCCAUAGCCAAUAAUUGAGCAUUUCAUUGCAACUCCUAGGGAAGAUGACACGGGAAUUAAAACUCCCGAUUAUUUUGUAUUGAUUGUGACAUCUUUGAAUUAAAAUUUGAUGUAGAUGAUUCAUUUCC